rnacentral:rRNA from 1 species
GACGAACGCUGGCGGCGUGCUUAACACAUGCAAGUCGAACGGAAAGGCCCUGCUUUUGUGGGGUGCUCGAGUGGCGAACGGGUGAGUAACACGUGAGUAACCUGCCCUUGACUUUGGGAUAACUUCAGGAAACUGGGGCUAAUACCGUAUAGGAGCUCCUGCUGCAUGGUGGGGGUUGGAAAGUUUCGGCGGGUGGGGAUGGACUCGCGGCUUAUCAGCUUGUUGGUGGGGUAGUGGCUUACCAAGGCUUUGACGGUUAGCCGGCCUGGGAGGGUGACCGGCCACAUUGGGACUGAGAUACGGCGCAGACUGCUACGGGAGGCAGCAGUGGGGAAUAUUGCACAAUGGGCGGAAGCCUGAUGCAGCAACGCCGCGUGCGGGAUGACGGCCUUCGGGUUGUAAACCGCUUUCGCCUGUGACGAAGCGUGAGUGACGGUAAUGGGUAAAGAAGCACCGGCUAACUACGUG